GACGAACGCUGGCGGCGUGCUUAACACAUGCAAGUCGAGCGGUAAGGCCCUUUCGGGGGUACGACGAGCGGCGAACGGGUGAGUAACACGUGGGUGACCUGCCCUCAGCUCUGGGAUAAGCCUGGGAAACCGGGUCUAAUACCGGAUAUGACUCCAUGACGCAUGUUGUGGGGUGGAAAGCCUUGUGCGGCUGAGGAUGGGCCCGCGGCCUAUCAGCUUGUUGGUGGGGUGAUGGCCUACCAAGGCGACGACGGUAGCCGGCCUGAGAGGGCGACCGGCCACACUGGGACUGAGACACGGCCCAGACUCCUACGGGAGGCAGCAGUGGGGAAUCUUGCGCAAUGGGCGAAAGCCUGACGCAGCGACGCCGCGUGA
rnacentral:rRNA from 1 species